UACGUAGGGGGCAAGCGUUGUCCGGAAUCAUUGGGCGUAAAGAGCGCGUAGGCGGUCCGGUAAGUCCGCUGUGAAAGUCAAGGGCUCAACCCUUGAAUGCCGGUGGAUACUGUCGGGCUAGAGUCCGGAAGAGGCGAGUGGAAUUCCUGGUGUAGCGGUGAAAUGCGCAGAUAUCAGGAGGAACACCAAUGGCGAAGGCAGCUCGCUGGGACGGUACUGACGCUGAGGCGCGAAAGCGUGGGGAGCAAACAGGG
rnacentral:rRNA from 1 species